rnacentral:snoRNA from 14 species
UAGCACUGGCAAGUGACCUGUUGGACUUUCUCUUGACCAACUGGGCAUCGAGCAGUGCGAAAACAAAACCCUCCGAAAGCUGGGAGAGUCACACUGUGGACUACUCCCGCAUGCAGGUGGGUACAUAA